UACGGAGUGGACUAGCGUUGUUCGGAAUUACUGGGCGUAAAGCGCACGUAGGCGGAUUUGUAAGUCAGGGGUGAAAUCCCGGGGCUCAACCUCGGAACUGCCUUUGAUACUGCGAAUCUCGAGUCCGGAAGAGGUGAGUGGAAUUCCUAGUGUAGAGGUGAAAUUCGUAGAUAUUAGGAAGAACACCAGUGGCGAAGGCGGCUCACUGGUCCGGUACUGACGCUGAGGUGCGAAAGCGUGGGGAGCAAACAGG
rnacentral:rRNA from 1 species